rnacentral:lncRNA from 1 species
GUACCUUUGUUUCCCCCCGAUCAGUACUUAUCAGUACUCGCACACUGUCAUCAAUUAGACGCCACCAGAUAAAGGUUCGUUUCUAUAGCACCCAUCAUCACAAAAGGGAAAAAAAAAGGAGAACAAUACGUAAUAACCAUCCAUUGAUAUUCCUAGCCUCGCUGAAAAGCCAAACCCACAACAAAUACUACUCCUACUAUUGCAAAAAUAUCUCUACUGCUGAAAAAGUGAAAAGCCAGACCCACAACAAAUGUUUGCCCAACUGUUUUUCCUCUUGGCUGCAUCUGGGUGAAGGGAAAGCUUGUACAGAACCAGCAACUCCUACCAAGAAACAACUUCCUGAUACUUGAGAGGGAGAGAGAGAGAGAGAGAGAAGGGACAGGUGUAUGGACGGGAGAAUAACUGGGGGGCUCGUCGGACGUCGGUACUGACGGUAUCGGUACAUGAUAACAAGAAAUCUUGCACGACGCUUAUGGGUAGCCCCAUCCCCCGUAUCAAUCUCCAGGGUGUCAUGGUCAUGGAUACACCUUUUAGGUAGAGCAGUCGGAGGAGACGGCUGGGCGUGCAUGCAUGUACCUGUACUGCCUGCCUGUACCCUACUAUACUAACACAGAAAAAGGGCUGACCCGAUCAAGACAAUUUUUGUAGCAGUUGCGAGUACGUAGACCGGACUCCGGCCCGGAGUAGUUGCAUCGGCACGAGUGGCACUGCCAGGGGGCGGAGCCAGGAUUUGAACAUAGGGGGGCCGUGCAAAUCAAAAACAAUCAUGUGUGUCAAAAUAUUACAUGACAAAGGUGUACAUAGCACCAAAAUAAAUAUUUGCGACAAAAAAGCAGAAAAAAUAAAGAGAAAUUAAUUAUUCUCAAGCCCCUAACCUUUACCUGAUCAAUCUAUUUCUUUGGCCAGGAAAAGAAUCACAGUAAAACAAGUAGUUAAACGGGGGCAAAAUUAAUUAGUACUAGAUCCUAACAUCAAAUGACAAACAAUCAGUUACAUAUCUUUUAGCCUCAGACAAGGCGAUCACUUAAACGGGUAAAAUGGUCAUUUAAAUAGAAGGUUAAACCAAAACACCAUACCACUGUUAGUGUUUAAAAGUUGAGUACACGUACUUAAUGACCAUUUAGAAUUUAGACGAAUAAUGAUAGAAACAUAGGAGAUAAGAAAGAUAAUAGGAAGACUAAUGCUAAAUAAUAUAGAUCCCAUUGUUGGAGAUCAAUUCAAAAGGAUUCAACAAAAAAAACGCUGAUUUUCAAUUAACUAGCUAAUUAGAGUGUGUGGUAGGAGACAAACUAAUGUUUGAUAGGCAAUAAUAAAAAUAAAAAAUAUGAAGAAAAUAUUAGAAAGAUCUAGAUUUUAUUUAUAUAAGAAACUAUUAGAGAUCAAUAUGAAAUAAGAAUAAAAAUCUUAGUACAGAUAAUAUCAUUAUAACUAGUUAAUUAGACAAUUAAGCACCUAAUUUAGAGUAUGUAUUAAGGGAGUUAUGAGAAAGUUGGGGGGUGCCAGGCCCCCCUCAGCCCCCCCCUUCCCUCCGCCACUAGGCACUGCUGCAGGAAAAACAUCUCGGCGCGCGUCGUUGGCGGUGCAGCCGCGAGCUAGGCGCGGAGCAUAGGGCU